rnacentral:lncRNA from 1 species
GUUCAUGAAAUUUGGUUCAUGAGUCCAAGUUGGAAGUUGGGUUUGGGUUGUAGUCGUGGUUCGGAUUGGAGUUGGAUUUGGGUUUGGGUUUGGAUUUUAUUUGUGGGCUUGAUUUGGGUUUGGGUUUCGAGUUUGGUUUUAUUUGUGGACUUGACUUAGGUUUUUAGUUUUGGGUUUGGUUUUUAUUUGUGGACUUGAUUUUGUUUUGGGUUUGGGUUCAAGUUUUAUUUGUGGACUUGAUUUGGAUUUGGGUUCAAGUUUUAUUUGUGGACUUGGUUUGGAUUUGGGUUUUGGUUUCGGUUUUAUUUGUGGACUGGAUUUGGGUUUGGGUUUGGGUUCAAGUUUUAUUUGUGGAUUUGAUUUGGUUUUGGGUUUGGGUUCAAGUUUUAUUUGUGGACUUGGUUUGGAUUUCGGUUUAAUUUGAUUUUUUGGGUCUAAAAGGAUUCUUU